AGGCAGCAGUGGGGGAAUAUUGCACAAUGGGCGCAAGCCUAAUGCAGCCAUGCCGCGUGUGUGAAGAAGGACCUUCGGGUUGUAAAGCACUUUCAGUCGUGAGGAAGGUAGUGUAGUUAAUAGCUGCAUUAUUUGACGUUAGCGACAGAAGAAGCACCGGCUAACUCCGUGCCAGCAGCCGCGGUAAUACGGAGGGUGCGAGCGUUAAUCGGAAUUACUGGGCGUAAAGCGCAUGCAGGUGGUUUGUUAAGUCAGAUGUGAAAGCCCGGGGCUCAACCUCGGAAUAGCAUUUGAAACUAGGCAGACUAGAGUACUGUAGAGGGGGGUAGGAAUUUCAGGUGUAGCGGUGAAAUGCGUAGAGAUCUGAAGGAAUACCGGUGGCGAAGGCGGCCCCCUGGACAGAUACUGACACUCAGAUGCGAAAGCGUGGGGAGCAAACAGGAUUAGAUACCCUGGUAG
rnacentral:rRNA from 1 species